rnacentral:rRNA from 1 species
UACGGGAGGCAGCAGUGGGGAAUAUUGCACAAUGGGCGCAAGCCUGAUGCAGCCAUGCCGCGUGUAUGAAAAAGGCCUUCGGGUUGUAAAGUACUUUCAGUCGUGAGGAAGGUGUUAAGGUUAAUAACCUUAGCAAUUGACGUUAGCGACAGAAGAAGCACCGGCUAACUCCGUGCCAGCAGCCGCGGUAAUACGGAGGGUGCGAGCGUUAAUCGGAAUUACUGGGCGUAAAGGGCACGCAGGCGGUUAAUUAAGUUGGAUGUGAAAUCCCCGGGCUUAACCUGGGAAUGGCAUUCAAGACUGGUUAGCUAGAGUCUUGUAGAGGGGGUAGAAUUCCAUGUGUAGCGGUGAAAUGCGUAGAGAUGUGGAGGAAUACCGGUGGCGAAGGCGGCCCCGUGGACAAAGGACUGACGCUCAUGUGCGAAAGCGUGGGGAGCGAAACAGGGAUUAGAU